rnacentral:lncRNA from 1 species
UCUAGUGUUGUUCUCAUCUGAUUAAUCUAGUUCUUGUCAAUUCUUCUUGAACUUCUUGUUAGAUCUCGAGUCUAUAUUUUUGUGUCCAUGAUAAUUUGUCGAGACUGCACUCACCUCAGAUAUCAGAGCUAGUUUCUUCUUUGUUAGAGUGUAGAUUACCCCUCUGUUUGGAAGUGUACUAGCAUUUUAGAGGUUGCGGAUUACCUUCCUCUAAACUGAUACUUCUUUUGUUACAAUAUUGGAGUCUUAUUCUUUUUGGAGAGAGUGGAUUACCCCUUUUCUUCAAGCUCUUAAGGCAUUUUAGAGGUUGUAGAGUACCCUCCUCUAAACCAAUAUUGUCUUCUUGUAGAGUCA